CACGUAGGGGGCAAGCGUUGUCCGGAUUUAUUGGGCGUAAAGAGCUCGUAGGUGGUUCGGUAAGUCAGGUGUGAAACCUCCAGGCUCAACCUGGAGACGCCACUUGAUACUGCUGUGACUGGAGUCCGGUAGGGGAGCGUGGAAUUCCUAGUGUAGAGGUGAAAUUCGUAGAUAUUAGGAAGAACACCAGUGGCGAAGGCGGCUCACUGGCCCGGUACUGACGCUGAGGCGCGAAAGCGUGGGGAGCAAACAGG
rnacentral:rRNA from 1 species